GGAGUCGGCCGGACAGUCGCGUCGCACAUGCUGCGUCGAGGAAAGUCCGGGCUCCGCAGGGCAGGGUGCCAGGUAACGCCUGGGCGGCGCGAGCCGACGGCCAGUGCAACAGAGAGCAGACCGCCGAUGGCCCGCAAGGGCACAGGCAAGGGUGAAACGGUGCGGUAAGAGCGCACCGCGUGCGGGGCCAACGCCGCACGGCACGGUAAACCCCACCCGGAGCAAGACCGAAUAGGGGAACGAUAACGCGGCCCGCGUUGUUCCCGGGUAGGUCGCUGGAGCCAGGCGGCGACGCCUGGCCGAGAGGAAUGACUGUCGCGCCGCAAGGCGUACAGAACCCGGCUUACAGGCCGACUCCACCU
rnacentral:RNase_P_RNA from 1 species